GUUACACGUAAGAAAGCUGUGUGUUGUUAACGUGUUCCCCGUUAUAAUUCGGCGGGUUAUAUCUGUGAAACUAGCUCUGUUUACGUAACUGCCGCGGUCUCACUUCCGGUUUGAGUUCUGCGAGAUGUAAACAAAGAUCACGUGACGCUAAACGUGCCGUGAUGUUUCCCCAGCUAACAUGACUCAAAUAGCUAGUGUAACACUAUAUUCUAUGUCUAAAUCGUGAAUACAGUAAGAGGCUGGUCAUCCUUCUCAUGCAGUUAUUGAAGGUUACUGGUCUGUUGUUUUGAGUUGAAGUCAUUGAAUGAGCAGUGUGUGCUGAUCAAUGCAUUGAGUAUUCUCAUUAAAAUAAUCUGUUGCUGGUCUGACAGCAUCUUAGCCUUAUUUGUUCAGCUGUAACUCUCACAAUGUAAAAUAGACUUGGGGUGCAAAUGGAAAAAUAUAUCACAAUAUAUUUUUAGCAUAUAUUCAGUGAUUCACCGUGUCAGCUCUUUGAUCCUUGUUGCAGUGUGACCUGUCGGAGUUGUCUUACAGUCACGGGCAGGAUGCAGUGUUACUUGCUCUGGUUACUUGUUUAAUGUUGUGAUUACUAUACGCUAUGAAAGGAACCCUUAUUUAUGCUUAGAAUUAUGUGAUCUAAAGCUGGGGUUCAGAGGUUUUAAAGUGUAUUUUGAAUAUUAAUCAGUGCAGCCCCCUAUAUGUUCUUGUUAGACUUUAGAAUAGGCCAUGCACACUGCUGUAAGUUAUUUGCCAUUUAAUAAACGUUUAAUAGACUUUUCAAAUAAAGUCACUUUGGUAACUUGUGAGUAUCUCAACAAACAUCAUUACUAUAAUUUCUAAAUGCAGUCUUUUUUUCAAUCUGAAUUCCAGGUGACACACAAUCAGGCUCCUGCUGUGGCAGUGGACACGGAGACGCCUUUAGACUGGACUAGCUAUGAUGGAUGUGACCCAAAUAGAGCUACCGUCAGGUGACACACAAUCAGGCUCCUGCUGUGGCAGUGGACACGGAGACGCCUUUAGACUGGACUACCUAUGAUGGAUGUGACCCAAAUAGAGCUACCGUCAGGUGACACACAAUCAGGCUCCUGCUGUGGCAGUGGACACGGAGACGCCUUUAGACUGGACUACCUAUGAUGGAUGUGACCCAAAUAGAGCCACCGUCAGGUGACACACAAUCAGGCUCCUGCUGUGGCAGUGGACACGGAGACGCCUUUAGACUGGACUACCUAUGAUGGAUGUGUCCCAAAUAGAGCCACCGUCAGGUGACACACAAUCAGGCUCCUGCUGUGGCAGUGGACACGGAGACGCCUUUAGACUGGACUAGCUAUGAUGGAUGUGAUCCAAAUAGAGCUACCGUCAGGGGUUUACUGUUGGAGGCUUUCCCCUAGUGGAUUAUCCAGACAGCGAUGAAACCGAUGAUGAUUGUUGCCUGUGCAGAAAGUCUCAGGCCCAUCAUCUGGCCGGAGUUAUUUUUGACCAGGCACUAUGAUGGGACACAGCGGAUCCUCCGCGCCGACCAAUGCAUGUCAGUUUGCUGGUACAAAUGAUUGAUUAUGAGUAUCUCACUAUCACCUGGAUUGGUUUACUUACAACCGAGGUGCCAGUGCCUCUCUCUGGACCAGUGACAAGCUUGCUAGCUGGUGAGUUUGUAGCUAUGGGCAAACACACUAUGGAACACUCGUGCCACGGACGGGCAUGACCUCCCAGCACCAUCAUAUUAAUGUUUUUAUAACUUUGUCUUGUGUCUAUUUCACUUUUCUGUUGAAAAGAUAACUGAGACUUCUGCUAGCUUUGAGGCACUGCUUAGAACUGCUUUGCAAAGCAUAGAUAGUCUUCACUUUAGAUUAGAUCACAGAACAUACUUGACUAAUACUUAACUGACGAGUAGUAACUACUGAAUUAAUCAUGACGUUUUUUUCAUGCUUUGUAAAGCAUAGAUAGUCUUCACAUUAGAUACUAAACUAAUACUUUAAUAAUGAGUAGUAACUACCUGAAUUAAUCAUGAAUUGCUCCUUUUGAUCAUUUACUAACACUUUACAAAUGAUCUUAGUAAUCAUCUCUAAGUCCUUCCAAUUUAAUUUACAAAUGGGGAAUUCAUAAUAAAGUUUGAAACCCCAAUGUUAUUAAUCAAGAAUGAAACAUUACAACUGUUUAUGAAUUGCAUACUAAUGAGUUACUAAUGAGGAUUCAUGUUUUAAUAAUGCUUUAUAAAUGAUGCAUUCAGUGAUUAUUCAUGCUUUACUAAUGCUAAAUAGUGUAAUUAAUAUAAAGUGCAACCAAGUUAUGUAUUUUCGACCACAACUUGUUAAUUAACGUCAAUAGACAAAUGUUCAUGUUUUCUUUGAGAUUGGCCUCUUAAAGUUUUGUCUAUUAAACCAGAAUAUGUUGGUUAAUAUGUACCAAUAGACUUUUGUUCAUGUGUGUGUGUUAUUAAAAACCUGCUCAAUUGA